rnacentral:rRNA from 1 species
GAUGAACGCUGGCGGCGUGCCUAAUACAUGCAAGUCGAACGCUUUGUGGUUCAACUGAUUUGAAGAGCUUGCUCUGAUCUGACGCUGAACAUUGCAAAGAGUGGCGAACGGGUGAGUAACACGUGGGAAACCUACCUCUUAGCGGGGGAUAACAUCUGGAAACAGAUGCUAAAACCGCAUAACACUAGCAACCGCAUGGUUGCUACUUGAAAGAUGGUUCUGCUAUCACUAAGAGAUGGUCCCGCGGCGCAUUAGUUAGUUGGUGAGGUAAUGGCUCACCAAGACGAUGAUGCGUAGCCGAGUUGAGAGACUGAUCGGCCACAAUGGGACUGAGACACGGCCCAUACUCCUACGGGAGGCAGCAGUAGGGAAUCUUCCACAAUGGACGAAAGUCUGAUGGAGCAACGCCGCGUGUGUGAUGAAGGGUUUCGGCUCGUAAAACACUGUUGUAAGAGAAGAAUAGCAUCAAGAGUAACUGCUUGGUGUCUGACG